rnacentral:rRNA from 1 species
GUUUCCGUAGGUGAACCUGCGGAAGGAUCAUUGCACACACGAGUUGCAGCCAACCCGCGGCGAACGAACACAUUGUCCCCCUUCGGUGGGGCGCGUCGCCUCGCGGCGUCGCGGCCGGCCACCUCCCUUCGUCACGAGCGGGCUCGCUCGUUCGCGGCGUGGGGUUUCCACGAUGCGCCCACCUUGAUCGAAUGACUGACUCCCGAAUCCUCUUAAGAGGAGUGAGUUCCGCCCCCCUUGGCUUGCUGAGGGGGGGCCGGCACUGGCUACCUUGCGAGUUGGAACACACAAUCAAAACAACUCUCAGCAACGGAUAUCUUGGCUCUUGCAACGAUGAAGAACGCAGCGAAAUGCGAUACGUAGUGUGAAUUGCAGAAUUCCGCGAAUCAUCGAGUCUUUGAACGCAAGUUGCGCCCGAGGCUUGUCCAAGGGCAUUUCCGCUAGAGCGUCACCGCGCCCCCCACCGACCCACUCCCAAGGGUCGAGUGAAAGUGGCCAUCCCGGUGGUCUUGUCCUCCUUCGAGGAGGGGAAGGCCUUAAGGGUUGGCUGAAAUGGAAGGAAUCGGGCCGCCGUGGCGACACAGUCCGCGAUCGGGUGAUCCGAGCUCCUCCGGGAGCCCGGACUUUUCUAAGUGCGUGGCUGCGUCCCCCAGCCGGUUGUGGUUACCUCAUGCAGGUCGAGCGCGCCCCCGCGGCGCGCGUCACGCAUCAGACCUCUAAUCGGAAAAGACUACCCGCUGAG